rnacentral:rRNA from 1 species
GUAGAGCACUGUUUGGACGAGGGGCCCCUCUCGGGUUACCGAAUUCAGACAAACUCCGAAUGCCAAUUAAUUUAACUUGGGAGUCAGAACAUGGGUGAUAAGGUCCGUGUUCGAAAGGGAAACAGCCCAGACCACCAGCUAAGGUCCCAAAAUAUAUGUUAAGUGGAAAAGGAUGUGGCGUUGCCCAGACAACUAGGAUGUUGGCUUAGAAGCAGCCAUCAUUUAAAGAGUGCGUAAUAGCUCACUAGUCGAGUGACACUGCGCCGAAAAUGUACCGGGGCUAAACAUAUUACCGAAGCUGUGGAUUGUCCGUAGGACAAUGGUAGGAGAGCGUUCUAAGGGCGUUGAAGCAUGAUCGCAAGGACAUGUGGAGCGCUUAGAAGUGAGAAUGCCGGUGUGAGUAGCGAAAGACGGGUGAGAAUCCCGUCCACCGAUUGACUAAGGUUUCCAGAGGAAGGCUCGUCCGCUCUGGGUUAGUCGGGUCCUAAGCUGAGGCCGACAGGCGUAGGCGAUGGAUAACAGGUUGAUAUUCCUGUACCACCUAGCAUCGUUUUAAUCGAUGGGGGGACGCAGUAGGAUAGGCGAAGCGUACGAUUGGAUUGUACGUCUAAGCAGUGAGAUUGAGUGUUAGGCAAAUCCGGCACUCUUAAGAUUGAGCUGUGAUGGGGAGAGGAAAUUGUUUCCUCGAGUCGUUGAUUUCACACUGCCGAGAAAAGCCUCUAGAUAGAUAAUAGGUGCCCGUACCGCAAACCGACACAGGUAGUCAAGAUGAGAAUUCUAAGGUGAGCGAGCGAACUCUCGUUAAGGAACUCGGCAAAAUGACCCCGUAACUUCGGGAGAAGGGGUGCUCUUUAGGGUGCAAGCCCAGAAGAGCCGCAGUGAAUAGGCCCAAGCGACUGUUUAUCAAAAACACAGGUCUCUGCUAAACCGUAAGGUGAUGUAUAGGGGCUGACGCCUGCCCGGUGCUGGAAGGUUAAGAGG